AACAAACGCUGGCGGCGUGCCUAAUACAUGCAAGUCGAACGGGGAAAGCUUUCGGGUGAGUACUAGUGGCGCACGGGUGAGGAACGCGUGGAUAAUCUGCCUUAGAGUGGGGGAUAACUAGUCGAAAGAUUAGCUAAUACCGCAUAAGACCACAGGAGCUGCGGCUCAAGGGGUCAAAGGUUUUUCGCUCUAAGAUGAGUCCGCGUAAGAUUAGCUAGUUGGUGAGGUAACGGCCCACCAAGGCGACGAUCUUUAACUGGUCUGAGAGGAUGAUCAGUCACACUGGAACUGAGACACGGUCCAGACUCCUACGCGAGGCAGCAGUAGGGAAUAUUGCACAAUGGAGGAAGCACUGAUGCAGCGACGCCGCGUGAGUGAUGAAGUACUUCGGGUCGUAAAGCUCUGUCGCAGGGGAAUAACACAAUGAAUGUACCCUGUAAGAAAGGAUCGGCUAACUUCGUGCCAGACGCCGCUGUAAAAC
rnacentral:rRNA from 1 species